AAUGAACGCUGGCGGCAGGCCUAACACAUGCAAGUCGAACGAGGCAGCAAUGCCUAGUGGCGGACGGGUGAGUAACGCGUGGGAACGUGCCCCUUGGUACGGAAUAGCCCUGGGAAACUGGGAGUAAUACCGUAUGUGGUCGAGAGACGAAAGAUUUAUCGCCAAGGGAUCGGCCCGCGUUGGAUUAGGUAGUUGGUGGGGUAAUGGCCUACCAAGCCGACGAUCCAUAGAUGGUUUGAGAGGAUGAUCAGCCACACUGGGACUGAGACACGGCCCAGACUCCUACGGGAGGGAGCAGUGGGGAAUCGUAGACAAUGGGGGAAACCCUGAUCUAGCCAUGCCGCGUGAUCAAUGAAGGCCUUAGGGUUGUAAAGAUCUUUCAGUGGGGAAGAUAAUGACGGUACCCACAGAAGAAGCCCCGGCUAACUCCGUGCCAGCCGCCGCCGUAA
rnacentral:rRNA from 1 species